rnacentral:rRNA from 1 species
UACAGAGGUCCCAAGCGUUUGUUCGGAUUCACUGGGCGUAAAGGGUGCGUAGGUGGUGAGGUAAGUCGGAUGUGAAAUCUCCGGGCUCAACCCGGAAAUGGCAUUGGAAACUACCUUGCUAGAGGGUUUGAGGGGGGAUUGGAAUACUUGGUGUAGCAGUGAAAUGCGUAGAUAUCAAGUGGAACACCAGUGGCGAAGGCGAAUCCCUGGAAAAUACCUGACACUGAGGCACGAAAGCUAGGGGAGCAAACAGG